rnacentral:rRNA from 1 species
UAGUUCAGCACUAAGUCACUUUGUCUUUAUGGCAAAUGUGAGAUGCAGUGUAUGGAACAUCUUAAAUCUAGUAUGAGAAAUUGACGAUUUAAGUCCUUCUUAAAUGAGGCCAUUUACCCAUAGAGGGUGCCAGGCCCGUAUAACGUUAAUGAUUACUAGAAGAUGUUUCCAAAGAGUCGUGUUGCUUGAUAGUGCAGCACUAAGUGGGUGGUAAACUCCAUCUAAAACUAAAUAUAACCAUGAGACCGAUAGUAAACAAGUACCGUGAGGGAAAGUUGAAAAGAACUCUGAAUAGAGAGUUAAAUAGUACGUGAAACUGCUUAGAGGUUAAGCCCGAUGAACCUGAAUAUCCAUUAUGGAAAAUUCAUCAUUAUGAUUGUAAUAUUUUAACAAUAUUAUAAUAAUAGUGUGCAUUUUUUCCAUAUAAGGACAUUGUAAUCUAUUAACAUGAUAUUUAUCAAAAGAUCAUUUGCUUAUGUUUAUUCCAAUUAGUUUGCUUGCAAGUUAACACAGAAUAAAUGCUUAUGAUUUGAUAAAGUGUUGAUAGAUUUUAUUAUAUAUAGUGCUUAAAUUCUUUGAAUUUUAUAAUGGCAUUGGAAUCAUUGAUUUCAGUGUUUAUUAUAUGCGCUUAUAUGAUAACAAUGCG